rnacentral:rRNA from 1 species
CCUACGGGUGGCAGCAGUGAGGACUAUUGGUCAAUGGACGCAAGUCUGAACCAGCCAUGCCGCGUGCAGGAUGACGGCUCUAUGAGUUGUAAACUGCUUUUGUACGAGGGUAAACCCCGAUACGUGUAUCGGGUUGAAGGUAUCGUACGAAUAAGGAUCGGCUAAUUCCGUGCCAGCAGCCGCGGUAAUACGGAGGAUCCGAGCGUUAUCCGGAUUUAUUGGGUUUAAAGGGUGCGUAGGCGGUGUGAUAAGUGAGAUGUGAAAUGUCGUGGCUCAACCCCGAAACUGCCGCUACUACUGUUGGACUAGAGAAUAGUGGCGGUAUGCGGAAUGUAUGGUGUAGCGGUGAAAUGCUUAGAGAUCAUACAGAACCCCGAUUGCGAAGGCAGCUUACCAAACUAUAUCUGACGUUGAGGCACGAAAGCGUGGGUAGCAAACAGGAUUAGAUACCCUAGUAGUC